CAUGAAUAAGUCAUACAAGACAUUUUAGGAAUAAUGCAAAUUACCAGAGGAACAAAAAAACAAGAACGAAGACAGAUCUGGAUCGGUCACAUGACAGACAACAAUGGUGUUGCAAAUAGGGACUGCCCCAGGACUUCUACCAUACAGGAGCCACCACCACCUUUUUCAUGUGAAAGUUUGAACAUCCAUCAUGCCCAAGUAUUGUUAUUAAAGUUGUAAAACAUUGUUAUUUGAG